GGCCUCGUAGCUCAGUUGGCAGAGCAUUGGAUUAGUAUCCCAAAGGUCGCGGGUUCGAUUCCCACCGUGGUCA